rnacentral:lncRNA from 1 species
CGAAGUCUUGGAUUCUUCAAUCUUUGUCAAUCCGCUUCGAUCCUUCAAGACUCCGACUCACUUCACGAAACUUGCCAAUACAAAAUCCUUAACAUUAACUUGUACAUUCAUAGUUCUUUACAUACUUUUCAUCAUUUCUUUUUACAUCACAUUCUCCUCGAGAUAAACAUUAUAUUCUUUUUCUUUUACAUCUCAACUCAUCAAAUACAAAAGAUGAAAU